rnacentral:rRNA from 1 species
AGUAACGGCGAGUGAAGCGGUAAAAGCUCAAAUUUGAAAUCUGGCUCUUUUAGAGUCCGAAUUGUAAUUUGUAGAAGAUGCUUCGGGUGUGGUUCCGGUCUAGGUUCCUUGGAACAGGACGUCAUAGAGGGUGAGAAUCCCGUAUGUGACUGGAUACCUAUGAUCAUGUGAAGCUCUUUCGACGAGUCGAGUUGUUUGGG